GUCAAAUAAGUCAAAUAAGUGUUCAAAUGCAUAUCACACACAGCUUGGUAAGGUGACCUGUGGUUUUCAAUCAGAAUCCGUCUUCCUUUCAUCACUGAUGCCGCUGCACUCACAACGUUUGGUUUAUUCUGAGCGACAGGGGUUUAGCGCAGGUCCUCUGGUCAAAAUCCCAGUUCUCUCACUACAUGCUGUGUGUCUUUGGGCAACUGGCUUAAUCUCUCUUUGGCUUCGCCUCCUCGUUUGUACGAUGAAGGAAAUAAUGGUAGCCCUCAGCUCUUGGAGUUACUUCGAGGAUUAAGUGACUUAGUGCCUGUAAAUCACUUCGAAAAGUAUUUGACAUAUGGCAGUCCUUGAUAAACGUCAGCUAGAGUUACCAUUUUACCUUUUAUUUUGGGUACAGCUUUUAUAGCAGUCUCUCCCCAACUUGUGAAGCCCGUUGGAGACAGGGGCUGGCUUCUUCAGCUCCCUGGUGCCUCUGUGCCUAGCACAAAAGCCCUACCUCAAAAGAGGGACUCAAGACAUGCUGACAUUUUCUACACUGCAUGGGGUAACAGUCAUUGAAACGAUCCUGCUUAGAACCCGUCUUUCCCUCUCCACUUUGUUCUUGGGUUUUCCCUCUUAAUCUUCUGUUUUCAACAGCCGAAAUGGAGCAGCCAAUAACUACCAGACAAGACCACGUGGAAGCUUGAGUGUUAAGUGCCACGUAUUACAAUACUGAUAAAAUGUUGACUUUAUGUUAGUAUCUGUGGGCUACAACAGGUUCCAUGAACGUUGGUAUCCUUUUCUCUCUCUCUCUCUCUUUCUCAAGAAAAAGAUGCCGUUGUUGGUGUGCGAAUCCUGGAAGGAGCCAAGAUUUGGGAAAAUUGUCUCUGCCACCUUCUAAGCUACUCUUCAUAUCAAGUAACACCCAACUCAUGGGAUUGGGACACGUUUUGUGCUCGAAUGAACGACAUCAUAAUAACGGACGACGGCGAUUCUUAGCCCUCCGUCCACCUCUUCACAGAGCGUCCGUACUUUCUAAGCCUUAUUUUGAAGGAGGUGUAAUUUCUACAGAACAGUACCAAGCAGAGAGAACUGUGGAUCUUCACUCACAAGAAAGUCAAAUUAACAACCAACCUGCUUUACUGAGACCUAUCCUGUUUGAGGCACUGUUAUGUUUAGUAUUAAGAAGGUCUAAGUUUUCUCAUCUUUAAAUGGGAAAUAUGAAACUCAAAGAAGUUAACAGCCACAUGCCCAAAGUCAAUCAGUCAGUGGGUAAGUAUCAGCGUUGGGGAUUUUUUUUCUUUUUUUUUAAUGUUUCUUUUUGAGAGGGAGAGAGACAGACAGAGUGUGAGCAGGGAAGGGCAGAGAGAAGAAGACACAGAAUCUGAAGCAUGCGCCAAGCUCCCAGUUGCCAGCACAGAGCCCAGUGCGGGGGGCUUGAACCCACAAACCGUGAGACCAUGACCUGAGCUGAAGUGGCAUGCUGAACCAACUGAGCCACGCAGGUGCCCCUCAGAGCUGGGAUUUUAACCCAGAUCAGUGGAUUAUACAGGAAGACCUCUGACUACCUGUCCACGCUGUGACUGGUAUGUGUGUGUGGAAGGCACUUGCCAUGCCUGUUUAAAAAACGAGUGGAAACAUCAAACAAAGUGAAUUUGCAUGAAAAGAGCAAUGAUGUCUCCAUCUUAUUCAAGACCUUCCAAUACAAAAGGCUUCCUCUAGAUGUCAGUUUCUUCUUCGCUGUUCUGGGGAUAUUGAAUUCACAGUGUGGCUUGGAGACCUAAUUGGUGUAAGACGUGGCGAGACCUGGAAGAUCCUGGCGCGCAGUAGACGGUAAGGAUGAUGACGUUGACCAUGAAGUUGACGACGACGACGAUGAUGAUGAUAAUGAUAACGAUGGCAUAAAUGUGUUUGUAGAGGAGGGGGUUUGAGAAUUCUGAAUUGGGGUCAGACUCAAUAUUUUAACAUGUUUUCCAUACUGAACUGAUGCAUCAAGACUGGGUGGGGCAGCAGGCAAGGUUUCCAGUGUUUUUCUCCACUUCACGUGCACCCUGUACAUUAUGAUCCGUGAUAACUUAGACCAGCAACCUCACCAGCAGAUGGAGAAAUGUCCCUAAUUGGGUCUACCAGCUCUGAAAUCAUACUGGAACCAGCUGGAUUGCCCAAGGUUUCCAGCCUCACGGCUGGUGGAGCAGAAUACUAAGGUCACCUGGAUCUCUUGGGAGUAUUACAAAAGCCUUGUUUCAGGCGUCACCUGGCUCUUUAAAAAUAUUUUUGAAUAAAAUGUAUACAGGCCUCUAUGAAUCUAUGCCC
rnacentral:lncRNA from 1 species